rnacentral:ncRNA from 1 species
GCGUAACAUUCGCCCCGAUUUAGUAAUAUGAGGACACACACUUUUGGACAGUCACAGUCGAUACCGAAUUGAGUUUUACUGUAACUUUCGCCAUUUUCCUUAACAGUCGGCGAGGGUUCGC